rnacentral:rRNA from 1 species
AGUGAACGCUGGCGGUAGGCCUAACACAUGCAAGUCGAACGGCAGCACAGUAAGAGCUUGCUCUUACGGGUGGCGAGUGGCGGACGGGUGAGGAAUACAUCGGAAUCUACUUUUUCGUGGGGGAUAACGUAGGGAAACUUACGCUAAUACCGCAUACGACCUACGGGUGAAAGCAGGGGAUCUUCGGACCUUGCGCGAUUGAAUGAGCCGAUGUCGGAUUAGCUAGUUGGCGGGGUAAAGGCCCACCAAGGCGACGAUCCGUAGCUGGUCUGAGAGGAUGAACAGCCACACUGGAACUGAGACACGGUCCAGACGCCUACGGGAGGCAGCAGUGGGGAAUAUUGGACAAUGGGCGCAAGCCUGAUCCAGCCAUACCGCGUGGGUGAAGAAGGCCUUCGGGUUGUAAAGCCCUUUUGUUGGGAAAGAAAAGCAGCAGGUUAAUACCCCGCUGUUCUGACGGUACCCAAAGAAUAAGCACCGGCUAACUUCGUG